CUUAUGAUGGUAUGGUUUCAAUAUUAAAAAUUGUAGUGUUAUAUUUCCAAUUUUUAAGAAUUGCAAUAGCAUAGUUCCAAUUAAUCCAAAAUACAAAUCUCUCUUCAAAAAAUAGAGCACCCUUGAGCCAAACCCCGUAGAAACCCUAGGAAAGCCGGUUCCUCUAUCAGCGGCGGCGCAGCAUCCGCGAGGAACGAUGGCCGGCUACCGCAGCCGGAGUCCGAGCCGAAGCUAUAGCCCUCGGAGGCGAUACAGCCGGAGCCCUCCUAGGCGCAAGCGCUACGACGACCCCCGUGACCGCUACCGCGGGGGUGGGGGCGGCGGUGGCGGAGCCCGGCGUGGGUACGGUCGGCCGUCGGCGCAGUCCGGUCUCCUCAUCCGCAACAUCUCCCUCACAACCAGGCCAGAAGAUAUUCGUGUUCCAUUUGAGGAAUUCAGCCCUGUAAAGGAUGUCUAUCUUCCAAGAAACUUCCACACCAGAGAACUUCGUGGUUUUGGAUUCGUGAAAUUCCGAUACCCUGAGGAUGCUGCGGUGGCCAAGCAAGAGAUGAAUCAUCAAGUUAUAGGUGGCCGAGAGAUUUCAAUAGUUUAUGCUGAAGAGAAUAGAAAGACACCCCAAGAAAUGCGCAUGAGAACAAGAAUAAGUAGUGGUAGGUACAUGGACAGAAGGUACACAAGGCGAUCACUAUCUAGAUCUCCAAGGUCUCAUUCUCACUCUUAUUCACCCACACCAUCUCCGGAUAGGCAUGACUUCAGAAUUGUGUUGCUCUGGUUUUGCUUAUUAUCCAGUCAACAAAGAAUAUAGAGUCUAAAAGACUAAAAGACAACCAUGAUGUUUGGAGCAUAAAGACCAAAGUGAAAGUACUAAGACCUCCAGAGUUGGAGAAUGUGAAAGGGACUACUGUUAAAGAUAAAGUGGUACUGUCACCCAGACUGUAAAGAUAAUCUUGGCUAAGAAACCUGGGGAAAGAGUUAUUUUCAAGUGAGUUGAUUCUGUUGAGCCAGCACCUUAAUGCAUUGCACAUUGCAUGUUUGGAACAAAGUCGGUAGCUUUUAUUGAUAUGGGACAGGGGCCGGGACAGCCGUGGCAAUUACUUGCCUGGGGUUUCGUACUCUCCGCGUCCUCAGAAUAACAGGCACUACAGGUCAGGUAGUCGAUCUCCAAGCCCAGAUGUGUGCAAACCUCAGAUGUCACCAAUCACCGAUGGGCAUGGAC